AUCAUUGCACUCAUCAUGCUAUUUUUGUGAAGUUGUACAAUCAAUGCCAUAUAAACAACCAAAUCUAAUUGGAAUUUUAUGUUUUGAUUUUGUUCUCUUCCUUUCUAAAUCGCCACUAGUUAAGCUGGAUCACAGGUCCAUAAGUUGUUUAUUUGAUUCAUGGUCUGCACUUCUUCUCAUGUAAUGUCCAUCCAAUCAGCUUUUAUAACUCCAGUGUACCUGUAAUUGUGCAUGACUGUUGAAACUUGCGGCAAUGGUUGGUGUUUGAGUGAAAUUUCACAGCUAUAAUGAAAAAUUGACCUUCCUGUUCGUCAGAAUUGGAUCUGCUAGCUGUGAUUCAGUGUGUGUUGAUGUUCUCUUGAAAUUGACAGUGCUUAUGGAGGAUUAAUUAGAGUAUCUGAAAAAAAAAAAAAAAA
rnacentral:misc_RNA from 1 species